rnacentral:rRNA from 1 species
GGACCCUACGGGGCGCAGCAGUGGGGAAUAUUGGGCAAUGGGCGCAAGCCUGACCCAGCAACGCCGCGUGAAGGAAGAAGGCUUUCGGGUUGUAAACUUCUUUUAUCAGGGACGAAGCAAGUGACGGUACCUGAUGAAUAAGCCACGGCUAACUACGUGCCAGCAGCCGCGGUAAUACGUAGGUGGCAAGCGUUAUCCGGAUUUACUGGGUGUAAAGGGCGUGUAGGCGGGGGUGCAAGUCAGAUGUGAAAACUAUGGGCUCAACCCAUAGCCUGCAUUUGAAACU